rnacentral:rRNA from 1 species
AGAGUUUGAUCCUGGCUCAGAUUGAACGCUGGCGGCAUGCCUUACACAUGCAAGUCGAACGGCAGCACGGGUGCUUGCACCUGGUGGCGAGUGGCGAACGGGUGAGUAAUAUAUCGGAACGUACCUUAUUGUGGGGGAUAACGCAGCGAAAGCUGUGCUAAUACCGCAUAAUCCCUAAGGGGGAAAGCGGGGGACCGUAAGGCCUCGCGCAAUUAGAGCGGCCGAUACCUGAUUAGCUAGUUGGUGAGGUAAAGGCUCACCAAGGCAACGAUCAGUAGCUGGUCUGAGAGGACGAUCAGCCACACUGGGACUGAGACACGGCCCAGACUCCUACGGGAGGCAGCAGUGGGGAAUUUUGGACAAUGGGGGCAACCCUGAUCCAGCAAUGCCGCGUGAGUGAAGAAGGCCUUCGGGUUGUAAAGCUCUUUUGUCAGGGAAGAAACAGCAGCUCUAACACAGUUUGCGAAUGACGGUACCUGAAGAAUAAGCACCGGCUAACUACGUGCCAGCAGCCGCGGUAAUACGUAGGGUGCAAGCGUUAAUCGGAAUUACUGGGCGUAAAGCGUGCGCAGGCGGUUAUGUAAGACAGGCGUGAAAUCCCCGGGCUUAACCUGGGAAUUGCGCUUGUGACUGCAUAGCUAGAGUAUGUCAGAGGGGGGUAGAAUUCCACGUGUAGCAGUGAAAUGCGUA